GACGAACGCUGGCGGCGUGCCUAAUACAUGCAAGUAGAACGCUAAAGAGAGGAGCUUGCUCUUCUUGGAUGAGUUGCGAACGGGUGAGUAACGCGUAGGUAACCUGCCUUGUAGCGGGGGAUAACUAUUGGAAACGAUAGCUAAUACCGCAUAACAAUGGAUGACACAUGUCAUUUAUUUGAAAGGGGCAAUUGCUCCACUACAAGAUGGACCUGCGUUGUAUUAGCUAGUAGGUGAGGUAACGGCUCACCUAGGCGACGAUACAUAGCCGACCUGAGAGGGUGAUCGGCCACACUGGGACUGAGACACGGCCCAGACUCCUACGGGAGGCAGCAGUAGGGAAUCUUCGGCAAUGGGGGCAACCCUGACCGAGCAACGCCGCGUGAGUGAAGAAGGUUUUCGGAUCGUAAGGCUCUGUUGUAAGUCAAGAACGAGUGUGAGAGUGGAAAGUUCACACUGUGACGGUAGCUUACCAGAAAGGGACGGCUAACUACGUGCCAGCAGCCGCGGUAAUACGUAGGUCCCGAGCGUUGUCCGGAUUUAUUGGGCGUAAAGCGAGCGCAGGCGGUUUGAUAAGUCUGAAGUUAAAGGCUGUGGCUCAACCAUAGUUCGCUUUGGAAACUGUCAAACUUGAGUGCAGAAGGGGAGAGUGGAAUUCCAUGUGUAGCGGUGAAAUGCGUAGAUAUAUGGAGGAACACCGGUGGCGAAAGCGGCUCUCUGGUCUGUAACUGACGCUGAGGCUCGAAAGCGUGGGGAGCGAACAGG
rnacentral:rRNA from 1 species